UACGGAGGGAGCUAGCGUUGUUCGGAAUUACUGGGCGUAAAGCGCACGUAGGCGGCUUUGUAAGUUAGAGGUGAAAGCCUGGGGCUCAACUCCAGAAUUGCCUUUAAGACUGCAUCGCUUGAAUCAUGGAGAGGCGAGUGGAAUUCCGAGUGUAGAGGUAGAAAUUCGUAGAUAUUCGGAAGAACACCAGUGGCGAAGGCGGCUCGCUGGACAUGUAUUGACGCUGAGGUGGCGAAAGCGUGGGGAGCAAACAGG
rnacentral:rRNA from 1 species